rnacentral:misc_RNA from 1 species
GAUGAAGAACGUAGCGAAAUGCGAUAAGUAGUGUGAAUUGCAGAAUUCCGUGAAUCAUCGAAUCUUUGAACGCACAUUGCGCCUCCUGGUACUCCGGGAGGCAUGCCUGUCCGAGCGUCAUUAUAACCCUCUCGAGCAUUAUUGCUUGGUCUUGGAGCUGGAGCGUCCCCCCCGCGGCGGUCCGUUCCGAAUUCCAAUGGCGGACGACGGUGUCAACGUCAGCGUAGUGAGCAUUUUGCAUCGCGAAGCGGAGUCACCCGUCCCGCCGAACCAAACCCUUCAUUUAUAAUGUUGACCUCGGAUCAGGUAGGGAUACCCGCUGAACUUAAGCAUAUCAAUAAGCGGAGGA